rnacentral:rRNA from 1 species
UACAGAGGUCCCAAGCGUUGUUCGGAUUCACUGGGCGUAAAGGGUGCGUAGGUGGUGAGGUAAGUCGGAUGUGAAAUCUCCGAGCUCAACUCGGAAACUGCAUUGGAAACUACCCUGCUAGAGGGUCGGAGGGGGGACUGGAAUACUUGGUGUAGCAGUGAAAUGCGUAGAUAUCAAGUGGAACACCAGUGGCGAAGGCGAGUCCCUGGACGACUCCUGACACUGAGGCACGAAAGCUAGGGGAGCAAACAGG